CAGGGAGAACAUGUGCUGAAGAUGCACCUUUCCAUGGAAAAGCUAGAAGUCAAUAUACCUUGCACUGCUUCUUUCUGCAAAGGCAUCUGUUGGGACUUCUCAGUGGCAAGUGUUGCUUUGAAGUGAAGGGCACUGAAGACAUAACUCAAGGCGCAAAAAUACCUGAAGUCGGCACCUAAGAAAACAAGUAAUCAUUCACUGCCUUUUUUUCUGGUGGAAUCAUAUUUACUGCAAAAGGCAUGCUGAGAAACAACAUUCCUUCUUGCUGGGGGAAUACUGCUUGAAAUACAGAAGGCUUUGAGAACAAGAAGUUCAAAGUUGCGUCCAAUGGCAGAAGCGUGGACCAA